rnacentral:rRNA from 1 species
UACUCCUACGGGAGGCAGCAGUGGGGAAUAUUGGACAAUGGGCGCAAGCCUGAUCCAGCCAUACCGCGUGGGUGAAGAAGGCCUUCGGGUUGUAAAGCCCUUUUGUUGGGAAAGAAAUCCAGCUGGUUAAUACCCGGUUGGGAUGACGGUACCCAAAGAAUAAGCACCGGCUAACUUCGUGCCAGCAGCCGCGGUAAU